rnacentral:rRNA from 1 species
GAGCUGUCCUUAGUACGAGAGGACCGGGAUGGACAUACCUCUGGUGUACCAGUUGUCGUGCCAACGGCAUAGCUGGGUAGCUAUGUGUGGACGGGAUAAGUGCUGAAAGCAUCUAAGCAUGAAGCCCCCCUCAAGAUGAGAUUUCCCAACUUCGGUUAUAAGAUCCCUCAAAGAUGAUGAGGUUAAUAGGUUCGAGGUGGAAGCAUGGUGACAUGUGGAGCUGACGAAUACUAA